rnacentral:rRNA from 1 species
AUUGAACGCUGGCGGCAUGCUUUACACAUGCCAGUCGAACGGCAGCGCGGGCUUCGGCCUGGCGGCGAGUGGCGAACGGGUGAGUAAUACAUCGGAACGUGCCCAGUAGUGGGGGAUAGCUCGGCGAAAGCCGGAUUAAUACCGCAUACGACCUGAGGGUGAAAGCGGGGGAUCUUCGGACCUCGCGCUAUUGGAGCGGCCGAUGGCAGAUUAGCUAGUUGGUGGGGUAAAGGCCUACCAAGGCGACGAUCUGUAGCUGGUCUGAGAGGACGACCAGCCACACUGGGACUGAGACACGGCCCAGACUCCUACGGGAGGCAGCAGUGGGGAAUUUUGGACAAUGGGCGAAAGCCUAAUCCAGCAAUGCCGCGUGUGUGAUGAAGGCCUUCGGGUUGUAAAGCACUUUUGGCGGGAACGAAAAGGACUGUGCCAAUACCACGGUUCGAUGACGGUACCCGCAGAAUAAGCACCGGCUAACUACGUG